GUGCUUGCUUUAGCAGCUCUUAUACUAAAAUUGGAAGAAUACAGAGAUUAGCAUGAUUCCUGUACAAGGAUGACAAGCAAAUUCAUGAAGCAUUCCAUAAAAUA
rnacentral:snRNA from 1 species